UGUCUUAGGUGGAUACCAGCCAUCUUUUCACACUCUUUUUGAUUUAAACUGGGUGGAGAGUCACAAAUAUUUGCAUUUCAAAAAACAUAUUACUGGUUUGUGUAGUAAGGGAUGUAGUCUUUUAAUAAAGAAUAUUGUAUGUGAACCUUGAAGAAUUAAAGUAACAGAAUCAUUCCAUUCUGCAGUUUCAACAGAAGGCUUGGCAACAUCAAGAAAGAUUCCUUUUAGCAGAGGAAGAAGAGAGGCAGGUGAUGAUCUCUUCUUUCUGGUGAGAGCGACAGGGCCUGAGAGAAUGGCAUGGAGCUUUCAGGGGAGGGUCAGGCUGAGGACUAGGAAAAAGUUCUGCACCAGUGGGCGAUGGGCAUGGAACUGGUGCCCAGGGCAGUGGGCACAGCCCCGAGCUGCUGGAGUUCAAGGAGAGUUUGGACAACACUUUCAGACAUAGGUUUUGAACUUUGGGUGGUCCUGUGUGGGGCCAGGAGUUGGACUCAGUCAUCCUUGUAGAUCUCUUCCAACUUAGGAUAUUCUAUGAUUCUACAUAAAAAAUCCAGAAAUUGGCAUACAGUCCAGCUUACCUAGAAAUCUCCAUCACUACUGAGCAAUUUUUUCUGUAUUGUACUGAACUUGCAUAGGAAUUUAUUUAUAUAGAGCUGUAAUUACAGAACUGGAAGUCAGCCAGGGCAUGAGAGUUAACACCACCUUACUUUUAAGAAAAAGAGGCUGUGUUUAUGUAGUGUAUCAUUGUAGAGAAAGAUUUAGUCACCUACGUUAAUCCUUCAGUACUGCCACUGAAUGUUAGAAGUAUAAAUGGAAAAAAAAUGAGCUUCCAGAGUUGCACUGGAAUGGGCAGUAAGUUCAGUGUGCAUUGACUUGAUCCUUCCUGAAGUUUCUGUUGGCAGGGUUACAAUAAUCAAGUCUGAAACACAGAGUUGCACUGAAAAGGAUGACAUCAUUUCACAAAGCAGGUAAUGAUGCAUAUAACUUUAGGAACAGUAACAUGCUGCCAACAUUUUACUGAGAAGCUUCCACUGAGUCUUCUUGCCCUUUGCCACACAAAAUACUCACCUUUCCAGGGCCUUGCUGAGUGUGCGGAUUCUCUUUCAAAAUUACAUGCUAUUGUCAAGAUUAUCUCCUGGAGGAAGCAUAGCUGGCCUUCUUUUCAAGUACAGAAUUUUCUUGGAUCUUUUCUCUGUUUCAGUGGUUGAUGUGUGGCUACCUGAUACAGUGCCAAGGAAUCAUGCGAGGGCAUGGGCCAAAGGACAAAUAUGAGUUACUUGGUCCAAUUCCCUGCUCAAAGUAGGUUGCUUGGAGACUAUGCCAGUCUAGUUUUACUAUCAACAGAUGGGGAGACUGUUUAAUUUCAAUAUUUGACUACUCUCAUGGUUAAAAAUAUAUGUACACAUCAAAAACUCCCUGUAUAUAAAUUAAAUAUUGCAUGCGUUAUCUCUUGCCGUCUGACUGCCACCAAGAAGAGCCU
rnacentral:lncRNA from 1 species